rfam:Saccharomyces cerevisiae FostersO chromosome V FOSTERSO_c5_29, whole genome shotgun sequence.
AUCCUUAUGCACGGGAAAUACGCAUAUCAGUGAGGAUUCGUCCGAGAUUGUGUUUUUUGCUGGUUGAAAUUUAAUUAUAAACCAGACCGUCUCCUCAUGGUCAAUUCGGUGUUCGCUUUUGAAUACUUCAAGACUAUGUAGGGAAUUUUUGGAAUACCUUUUUUCAUUACCGAUAUUCAUUCUUUCAAAGGG